rnacentral:rRNA from 1 species
UAGGGAAUCUUCGGCAAUGGACGAAAGUCUGACCGAGCAACGCCGCGUGAGUGAAGAAGGUUUUCGGAUCGUAAAACUCUGUUGUUAGAGAAGAACAAGGACGUUAGUAACUGAACGUCCCCUGACGGUAUCUAACCAGAAAGCCACGGCUAACUACGUGCCAGCAGCCGCGGUAAUACGUAGGUGGCAAGCGUUGUCCGGAUUUAUUGGGCGUAAAGCGAGCGCAGGCGGUUUCUUAAGUCUGAUGUGAAAGCCCCCGGCUCAACCGGGGAGGGUCAUUGGAAACUGGGAGACUUGAGUGCAGAAGAGGAGAGUGGAAUUCCAUGUGUAGCGGUGAAAUGCGUAGAUAUAUGGAGGAACACAAGUGGCGAAGGCGGCUCUCUGGUCUGUAACUGACGCUGAGGCUCGAAAGCGUGGGGGGCAAACAGG